rnacentral:lncRNA from 1 species
GUGCUCGUUCGCGCCUCCCAGCGACCGGCCAGUUGCCAGCUGCUGGAGAGAAUGAGCUUGGAGCCGCAGGGCUUAAUCCCGCGCGGCUCAGAGAUGGGUUUCUGGACUCGCGAAGCAGCUGCAACAAGGCAUCACUCACUGUAUAAGUAUUUCCAUUUCUGAGAGCAAAAGGAAGAACUUAAGCGGGCGGCACUUGGAGUGUAAAUUGCUUUGUAGUAUUUAAAGGCAGAAUGGAUCCUGGGCAGCCGAGCUGCAACAAACCGGCAGGACUUCCUGUGAAAUCAUGACCACCAUGUGCUCUUUCAGCCUCUAUCAGUUCCUACCUCUAAGCACCUGAGAGCCAAAGCAAACCACAGGAAACCACAGGCCUUUGGAGUCAGACUGGAACUACAGCAUUGACUCUUCCGGAACUCCAGCUUACUGACUACAGAUCUUGGAACUUUUCAGCUUCCACAACCAUAAUGAAAGCCAAGCAUAUUCCAUCAUUUCCUAAAACCAAGAUAGAGCACAUAUGGGAACUUGUGAAAUAAGGAUGCCCUGCGGUUGUUUUCAGGACUGAAGACAACAGCUCCACGAUGAAACCAAAGCACAAAGAGAGAAAGAAAAGAAAGAGAAAAAAGGAAGAAAGAAAAGAAAGAUGAAAGAAAGAAAGAGAAAGAAGAGAGAGGGAGAGAGAGAAAGAAAGAGAAGGAAAGAAAGAAGGAAGAAGAAAGAAAGAAAGAAAGAAAGAAAGAAAGAAAGAAAGAAAGAAAGAAAGAAAGAAAGAAAGAAAGAAAGAAAAAAGGAAGGAAGGAAAAGAAACACAUGGAAAGUGCUUCUUUGGACCUUUUAAGUUGCAUUAUCCCAUAAAAUGUGGUGGAUUCAAUGUUGUAUGGCCUGUAAAACUAAGUAAUGAAGGCUGAUAUGUACCCACCUGGCUCUGUCUUGGGAUCACACAACUUGGGAGCCAAAACAGGUAUAAUUGUGAUCUCUUCCCAGGAAAAAGAAUGAGACUUGGCUGUUCUAAAAAACUACAGCUUGUCCUGUGGAGAACUGUGAUUACUUCUGAUGGAAAAUGACAGGCUGAAUGCCAGAAGGCAAAGCAACUGUUUUCCUAAGAGUCUUAAGACCCUGAAGGACUUGUGCCUCCUUUGGUGAUCUAGGGGAUAAAGAAGUGGAAUGGAAAUGGAGAGGAAUAGCUGGAACAAAAAGGCAAAGAG